ensembl:lncRNA
UAUAUAUAUAUAUAUAUAUAUAUAUUUGGAUUAGAUAAUAAGAUGGGAAAUGAUUAUUUUAAUUAAUCUACUGUUCAUACAAAAGAAGAGCCUCAUUCAUCAACAUAACAAACAGUCAUGGCGUGUACAGGAAGUGUGUGGGAAAUGUAAAAAAUCUGAAUGUUAACGUUAAGAUUUAUUUAUUUAUUUAUUUAUUUAUUUAUUUAUUUUGUAUGACAAUGACAGAACCACAUCUCUCUCCAUCAUCAUCAUCAUCAUCAUCAUCAUCAUCUCCCUCGGUUGAAUUCUUCUGAAGGAAGGGGAUCAGGUUCACGUUUUGACCCAAACCCCCGUUACAUUUUUCACGAACGCUGUCCUGAGACACAGGCUGUUGUGUAGACGUACAGUAAAUCGUGUGUUUAUUAGAUAACUCGAUCGGCGCAGCAGACGAACCGGUGUAUCAGUGAUAUAGACGGUGACGGUGGAGGCGCGGUGGUAGCGUCCGGAACGCUCCAUUGUGAGCUCGGGUUACUCUCUGUCUGGAUCCGUGUGUGUGCGGAAUAAAACACGGCCUCGGGGUGCGAGUGACUGCGUGAGGGAGUGUGUGAGUAAUAAGUGUGUGUGUGUGAGUGAGUGUGUGAGUAAUAAGUGUGUGUGAGUGAGUGUGUGAGUAAUAAGUGUGUGUGUGAGUGAGUGUGUGAGUAAUAAGUGUGUGUGAGUGAGUGUGUGAGUAAUAAGUGUGUGUGAGUGAGUGUGUGAGUAAUAAGUGUGUGUGUGAGUGAGUGUGUGAGUAAUAUGUGUGUGAGUGAGUGAGUGUGUGAGUAAUAAGUGUGUGCGAGUAAUAUGUGUGUGUGAGUGAGUGAGUGUGUGAGUAAUAAGUGUGUGUGUGUGAGUGAGUGUGUGAGUAAUAAGUGUGUGUGUGUGAGUGAGUGUGUGAGUAAUAAGUGUGUGUGUGAGUGAGUGUGUGAGUAAUAAGUGUGUGUGUGUGUGAGUGAGUGUGUGAGUAAUAAGUCUGUGUGAGUAAUAAGUGUGUGUGUGUGAGUGAGUGUGUGAGUAAUAAGUCUGUGUGAGUAAUAAGUGUGUGUGUGUGUGAGUGAGUGUGUGAGUAAUAAGUCUGUGUGAGUAAUAAGUGUGUGUGUGUGAGUGAGUGUGUGAGUAAUAAGUGUGUGUGUGUGAGUGAGUGUGUGAGUAAUAAGUGUGUGUGAGUGAGUGAGUGUGUGAGUAAUAAGUGUGUGUGAGUGAGUGAG